rnacentral:rRNA from 1 species
UUGAACGCUGGCGGCAGGCCUAACACAUGCAAGUCGAGCGGUAGCACAGAGAGCUUGCUCUCGGGUGACGAGCGGCGGACGGGUGAGUAAUGUCUGGGAAACUGCCUGAUGGAGGGGGAUAACUACUGGAAACGGUAGCUAAUACCGCAUAACGUCGCAAGACCAAAGUGGGGGACCUUCGGGCCUCAUGCCAUCAGAUGUGCCCAGAUGGGAUUAGCUAGUAGGUGGGGUAACGGCUCACCUAGGCGACGAUCCCUAGCUGGUCUGAGAGGAUGACCAGCCACACUGGAACUGAGACACGGUCCAGACUCCUACGGGAGGCAGCAGUGGGGAAUAUUGCACAAUGGGCGCAAGCCUGAUGCAGCCAUGCCGCGUGUGUGAAGAAGGCCUUCGGGUUGUAAAGCACUUUCAGCGGGGAGGAAGGCGGUGAGGUUAAUAACCUCAUCGAUUGACGUUACCCGCAGAAGAAGCACCGGCUAACUCCGUGCCAGCAGCCGCGGUAAUACGGAGGGUGCAAGCGUUAAUCGGAAUUACUGGGCGUAAAGCGCACGCAGGCGGUCUGUCAAGUCGGAUGUGAAAUCCCCGGGCUCAACCUGGGAACUGCAUUCGAAACUGGCAGGCUAGAGUCUUGUAGAGGGGGGUAGAAUUCCAGGUGUAGCGGUGAAAUGCGUAGAGAUCUGGAGGAAUACCGGUGGCGAAGGCGGCCCCCUGGACAAAGACUGACGCUCAGGUGCGAAAGCGUGGGGAGCAAACAGGAUUAGAUACCCUGGUAGUCCACGCCGUAAACGAUGUCGAUUUGGAGGUUGUGCCCUUGAGGCGUGGCUUCCGGAGCUAACGCGUUAAAUCGACCGCCUGGGGAGUACGGCCGCAAGGUUAAAACUCAAAUGAAUUGACGGGGGCCCGCACAAGCGGUGGAGCAUGUGGUUUAAUUCGAUGCAACGCGAAGAACCUUACCUGGUCUUGACAUCCACAGAACUUUCCAGAGAUGGAUUGGUGCCUUCGGGAACUGUGAGACAGGUGCUGCAUGGCUGUCGUCAGCUCGUGUUGUGAAAUGUUGGGUUAAGUCCCGCAACGAGCGCAACCCUUAUCCUUUGUUGCCAGCAGUUAGGCCGGGAACUCAAAGGAGACUGCCAGUGAUAAACUGGAGGAAGGUGGGGAUGACGUCAAGUCAUCAUGGCCCUUACGACCAGGGCUACACACGUGCUACAAUGGCAUAUACAAAGAGAAGCGACCUCGCGAGAGCAAGCGGACCUCAUAAAGUAUGUCGUAGUCCGGAUUGGAGUCUGCAACUCGACUCCAUGAAGUCGGAAUCGCUAGUAAUCGUAGAUCAGAAUGCUACGGUGAAUACGUUCCCGGGCCUUGUACACACCGCCCGUCACACCAUGGGAGUGGGUUGCAAAAGAAGUAGGUAGCUUAACCUUCGGGAGGGCGCUUACCACUUUGUGAUUCAUGACUGGGGUG